UGAGGAAUAUUGGGCAAUGCCCGCAAGGGUGACCCAGCAACGCCGCGUGGAGGAUGAAUGUCGUAAGAUUGUAAACUCCUGUUAGAGGGGAAGAAUAGUACCGGUUGGACCGGUAUAUGACUGUACCCUCAGAGAAAGCCCCGGCUAACUACGUGCCAGCAGCCGCGGUAAUACGUAGGGGGCAAGCGUUGUCCGGAUUUACUGGGUGUAAAGGGCGCGCAGGCGGGAUAAAAAGUCAGUGGUGAAAUCCUACAGCUUAACUGUAGAACUGCCUUUGAUACUUUUAUGCUUGAGUUCGGGAGAGAGAGACGGAAUUCCAGGUGUAGUGGUGAAAUACUUAGAUAUCUGGAAGAACACCAGUUGCGAAGGCGGUCUCUUGGUCCGACACUGACGCUGAGGCGCGAAAGCGUGGGGAGCAAACA
rnacentral:rRNA from 1 species